GGCUCUGUGAUCGGCGAGCCUUGUAACGAGGCGAUAUACGCUAUUCCGAUUCAAAGCAUGAGCUUGAUAACCUCAUUCAAUGAGAGCC
rfam:Punica granatum cultivar Dabenzi scaffold158, whole genome shotgun sequence.